ACCUGGGCUACUUCAGCUGGUAGAGCAUGAGACUCUUAAUCUCAGGGUUGUGGGUUUGAGCCCCACAUUGGGCA